UGGGGAAUCUUGGACAAUGGGCGCAAGCCUGAUCCAGCCAUGCCGCGUGAGUGAAGAAGGCCUUAGGGUUGUAAAGCUCUUUUGGCAGGGACGAUAAUGACGGUACCUGCAGAAUAAGCCCCGGCAAACUUCGUGCCAGCAGCCGCGGUAAUACGAAGGGGGCUAGCGUUGUUCGGAUUUACUGGGCGUAAAGCGCACGUAGGCGGAUUGUUAAGUCAGGGGUGAAAUCCCGGAGCUCAACUCCGGAACUGCCUUUGAUACUGGCAAUCUUGAGGCUGGAAGAGGUUGGUAGAAUUCCCAGUGUAGAGGUGAAAUUCGUAGAUAUUGGGAAGAAUACCAGUGGCGAAGGCGGCCAACUGGUCCAGAUCUGACGCUGAGGUGCGAAAGCGUGGGGAGCAAACAGG
rnacentral:rRNA from 1 species